AGCGAACGCUGGCGGCAGGCCUAACACAUGCAAGUCGAACGAACCUUUCGGGGUUAGUGGCGGACGGGUGAGUAACACGUGGGAACGUGCCUUUAGGUUCGGAAUAACUCAGGGAAACUUGUGCUAAUACCGAAUGUGCCCUUCGGGGGAAAGAUUUAUCGCCUUUAGAGCGGCCCGCGUCUGAUUAGCCAGUUGGUUGAGGUAAUGGCUCACCAAGGCGACGAUCAGUAGCUGGUCUGAGAGGAUGAUCAGCCACAUUGGGACUGAGACACGGCCCAAACUCCUACGGGAGGCAGCAGUGGGGAAUCUUGCGCAAUGGGCGAAAGCCUGACGCAGCCAUGCCGCGUGAAUGAUGAAGGUCUUAGGAUUGUAAAAUUCUUUCACCGGGGACGAUAAUGACGGUACCCGGAGAAGAAGCCCCGGCUAACUUCGUG
rnacentral:rRNA from 1 species